UACGAAGGGGGCUAGCGUUGUUCGGAUUUACUGGGCGUAAAGCGCACGUAGGCGGAUCGAUCAGUCAGGGGUGAAAUCCCAGGGCUCAACCCUGGAACUGCCUUUGAUACUGUCGAUCUGGAGUGUGGAAGAGGUGAGUGGAAUUCCGAGUGUAGAGGUGAAAUUCGUAGAUAUUUGGAGGAACACCAGUGGCGAAGGCGGCUCACUGGUCCAUUACUGACGCUGAGGUGCGAAAGCGUGGGGAGCAAACAGG
rnacentral:rRNA from 1 species